rnacentral:rRNA from 1 species
GACGAACGCUGGCGGCGUGCUUAACACAUGCAAGUCGAACGGAAAGGCCCUGCUCUUGUUGGGUGCUCGAGUGGCGAACGGGUGAGUAAAACAUGAGUAACCUGCCCUUGACUUUGGGAUAACUUCAGGAAACUGGGGCGAAUACCGGAUAGGAGCUCCUGCUGCAUGGUGGUGGUUGGAAAGUGUCGGCGGUUGGGGAUGGACUCGCGGCUUAUCAGCUUGUUGGUGAGGUAGUGGCUUACCAAGGCUUUGACGGGUAGCCGGCCUGAGAGGGUGACCGGCCACAUUGGGACUGAGAUACGGCCCAGACUCCUACGGGAGGCAGCAGUGGGGAAUAUUGCACAAUGGGCGGAAGCCUGAUGCAGCAACGCCGCGUGCGGGAUGACGGCCUUCGGGUUGUAAACCGCUUUCGCCUGUGACGAAGCGUGAGUGACGGUAAUGGGUAAAGAAGCACCGGCUAACUACGUG